AUGUCCAUGCUGUCGCUGCAGCUGCUCCUUCUCCCGCUCGCCUCCUUCCUGCGCACGGCUGCAUCCACCACCGGCACCGGCAGCAACGGGAGCUGCACGCAGCGGUCAUGCGGGGGCCUCACCAUCAGGUACCCCUUCUCCCUCGCCGGCGCGCAGCCGCUCUACUGCGGCUACCCGGCCUUCGACCUUACCUGCGACAACGGCACCCGCCGCUCCUACCUGAGCAACACGUUCAGGGAGCACCUGUUCCGCGUCGACAACAUCUCCUACGUGGACAACACCAUGAUGGCUGCCGUGCAGACCGCCUUCGCCGGCGACAGCGGCUGCCCCGUCCCCGACUUCAACCUGACGACCAGCCUCGCCCUCUUCCCGUUCAACAUCAGCUCCACGAACAAGCGCCUCGUGUUCUUCUACAACUGCACCGUGCCGGCUGAGAUUCGGCUGCGGCGCUCGUGUGGAAACCACGCGAUGGGAGCGUACAUCUCGGGUCAUUGGGACGGCGGCGGCGAAAACGGCACGCUGCCGCAGGGGGUUUCCACCAACUGUAGCUCGGUGAGCGUGCCGGUGCGCCGAGGACUGGAUCGAGCUCAUGAGCAGUACGAGCGGCUAAUCAGGGAUGGAUUCCUCCUGAAGCUUCCAGCGCCGCUAGGGGGCUGCGAUCGAUGCACACACCUGAGCGGCGGGGAGUGCAGGUUCGAUCAGUUUGCGUUCCAGUGCGUCUGCCCUGACGGGAAGUUCUGCCUUAAUUCCACCGAAACCAACUCAACAACCCAUCCAGACACAGAUACAGCAGGUACAGGUGCAGAUAAAAAUGUUGGAAUGAAGUUUGUCACAGGAAUCACAAGUGCUGUUCUGUUUGUCAUCAUACUGGGGCUCGUGUGCCAUCUUGUACAACUCAACCGAGCCAAGAACAAGAAACGAUCUGCGUCGAUGGACGGCCUCAUCCGUGAAGGAUCGCCGUUGGCAUCGCUCCGGAAGGAGCUCAACCUCGCCGGCUCGCCGUGCACACACAUCUUCACCUACGAGGAGCUCGACGCGGCCACCGACGGCUUUGGCAACGCCAACGAGCUCGGCGCCGGCGGCUUCGGCACAGUCUACAAGGGGGUUCUCCGGGACGGGAGCGUGGUGGCCGUGAAGCGGCUGUACAAGAACAGCUACAAGGGCGUGGAGCAGUUCGCCAACGAGGUGGACAUCCUCUCGCGUCUGCGCCACCCCAACCUCGUCGCGCUCUAUGGCUGCACCUCCUCCUCGCCGACCUGCCGCGACCUCCUCCUCGUCUACGAGUUCGUCCCCAACGGCACGCUCGCCGAUCACCUCCACCACGGCAAGGACGGCGGCGGCGAUCCUCUCCUCCUCCCGUGGCCGACCCGCCUCGGCAUCGCCGUCGAGACGGCCGCCGCGCUGGCCUACCUCCACGUGCACCAGGUCGUGCACCGGGACGUCAAGACGACCAACAUCCUCCUCGACGACGGGUUCCACGUCAAGGUGGCCGACUUCGGGCUGUCCCGGCUGUUCCCGGCGGACGGUGCCACGCAGCACGUGUCCACCGCGCCGCAGGGCACGCCCGGGUACGUCGACCCGGCGUACCACCAUCGGUACCAGCUCACGGACAAGAGCGACGUAUACAGCUUCGGAGUGGUCCUCGUCGAGCUCGUGUCCUCCAGGCCGGCGGUGGACAUGGCCCGGGCCGGCACCGACGUGAACCUGGGCUGCAUGGCCGUGCGCAUGAUACAGUGCUGCGAGAUCGACCGGCUGGUCGACCCGCGGCUAGGGUACGGGUCGUCGGCGAGCGAGACGAAGGGGACGAUCGACCUGGUGGCUGAGGUGGCGUUCCGGUGCCUGCAGCCGGAACAGGACGUGCGGCCGUCCAUCGGCGAGGUGCUGGACGUGCUCAGGCAGGCGCACCAGAGGAUCACGGAGAAGGGAGCCUCGGCCACCACAAAUGGUGCGGUGUUGCUGAAGAAGAGCAGGGACGGGUCGCCUGACUCCGUCAUGCACCAGUGGAUCAGCCCCUCGUCCACCUCCAACAGCACCUGA
rnacentral:rRNA from 1 species